UACGUAGGGUGCGAGCGUUGUCCGGAAUUAUUGGGCGUAAAGAGCUCGUAGGCGGUCUGUCGCGUCGGUCGUGAAAACUUGGGGCUUAACCCUGAGCUUGCGGUCGAUACGGGCAUGACUGGAGUUCGGCAGGGGAGACUGGAAUUCCUGGUGUAGCGGUGAAAUGCGCAGAUAUCAGGAGGAACACCGGUGGCGAAGGCGGGUCUCCUGGGCCGACUACUGA
rnacentral:rRNA from 1 species